CAUCAAAAUACUAAUUACAAGAUGCGAUAACAAAAGGGAAAGGACACAUAUAAUGAAUAAGAAACAAUGAAGAUAUCGCGUUUCGAUUGACUUUAGUGGUAGGAGAAAAUCAUAUCUAGCCACAUCCACCUCGGUUUUUACUAACUCUAUUUUGUGCCUAUGUCCCGUGGACUACAAAUGCAUCUCCCUAGUCUUUACUGAAGGCCUAUUUAUUUUGUUUGUUGUAAGUAAUAGUAUCUAUAGAAAAAGAUAGAAAGCUUAAAAACUGUGAGACCAUUUAAAAGGUAAAUUAAGUAAAUCUAAAAUAUUUUGUUCUUUUAUUUUACUAUAAAACAAAAGUAAUAGAAGUUAAAUUCUUUAAAAGUGUAAUUUUUAUGAAUUAUUUGGGGUCCACAUUUUUAUUUUAUUAUUGGACCCGAAUUCUCCAAACCGGCACUAGAUCCGUUAGCUUUUAGUUGAAUCUCUUUUUUUUGCUAGAUAGAUUAAUGAGGCAAGCUCG
rnacentral:lncRNA from 1 species